AUGCCCUGGUUUCUCUUCAGAUCAUAUAAAUCUUUCAGCUUUUACUAAAGAUUUCCAUGGAAGGGAACAAGUACGAGUGAAAGAGUAGUUGUGUGGUUCUUAGCUGUCAUCUGGGGU
rfam:Caprimulgus carolinensis contig39271, whole genome shotgun sequence.